UCCCGUUUAGCUCAGUUGGUAGAGCGCGUCACUAGUAACGUGAUCACAAAGUCACAUUGCUGCAUGACGAGGUCAGUCGUUCGAGUCGGCUAAUGGGAA